rnacentral:rRNA from 1 species
GCCUAAACUUCAGCUAAAAUAGCACCCCAAAACUACUUUAACCAACCAAACCAAAACAUUUGUGUGAUUAGUAAAUGCGAUAGAACCCCAUCAUUUUUAAGUUUUCAGUACCGUAAGGGAAAGAUGAAAUAACAAUGAAAUAAUUAAGCAUAAAAAAGCAAAGAUUAACUCUUGUACCUCUUGCAUCAUGGUCCAGCAAAACCACACAAAACAAAGAGAUCUUAAGCUUACUAACCCGAAACCAAGCGAGCUAUCUCUGGGCAGCUUUUAUGAGCGCACCCAUCCCUGUAGCAAAAGGGUGGGACGACCUUGAGAUAGAGGUAACAAGCCAACCGAGCUUGGUGAUAGCUGGUUACUCAACAAAAGAAUUUUAGUUCAACCUCGGGUCCAACAUCCAUACACUUAAAAUAUUGUUUUGAACCCGAGUAGAAUCAGUGGGGGUACAGCUCCAUUGAUCCGGAAUACAGCCCGAAUUGAGAAAAAACACCUACUCCAUAUAAGUUGGCCUCAAAGCCGCCACCACAAUCCACUGCGUUAUAGCAACAAUCUAACAAUUUCACAAAUCACUAUUAUUUCCAACCCAUAAAUUGAGUCAUUCUAUAAUAAUAUAAWAAUAUAAAAAUAUUAAUGCUUGAACUAGUAAUACGAAAAAUUCUCUACGCACACCUAUAAAUCAGACUAGAAAAACUACUGACAGUUAACAGCUUCAAACCUAUAACGUCCGCCCACAAAUUGGACGUUUAAUUAUCUGUUACCCCAACACAGGAGUGCUAUCAAGAGAGGAAAAAACUGCAAAAGGAACUCGGCAACCACAUAGUCCCAACUGUUUACCAAAAACAUAGCCUUUAGCCACACUAGUAUUAAAGGUCUUGCCUGCCCGGUGAUCCUUUUUAACGGCCGCGGUAUCCUAACCGUGCAAAGGUAGCAUAAUCACUUGUCCCCUAAAUAGGGACUAGAAUGAACGGCUAAAUGAGGACCUAGCUGUCUCUUGCAUUUUACUAAUGAAACUGAUCUCUUAGUUCAAAAGCUAAGAUUUUACCACAAGACGAGAAGACCCUGUGGAGCUUAAAACCAAACUCACAACAAUGAGCCCCGGUUUUCAGUUGGGGCGACUUCGGAGUACAAGAAACCCUCCGACACAACCACCCAAUUAGAUCAACACAUCUAUUUCUAACCCACGACCCAGUAAUUUUCACCAAACUACCUGAUCAAUGAACCAAGUUACCCCAGGGAUAACAGCGCCAUCCCCCUCUAGAGUUCCUAUCGACAGGGGGGCUUACGACCUCGAUGUUGGAUCAGGACCACCCAAUAGUGCAACCGCUAUUGACGGUUCGUUUGUUCAACGAUUAAAGUCCUACGUGAUCUGAGUUCAGACCGGAGCAAUCCAGGUCGGUUUCUAUCUGUGAUAGCCCUGUUCCUAGUACGAAAGGACCGGAAUAAGGAGGCCAAUGCUAACAGCACGCCUCACCACCAACUACUGCCCACACUAAAGUAGUAAGUUCUCUACCCACCAACCUUAAAUAUUUGGGUU